rnacentral:rRNA from 1 species
AUGCCUUCAAGUGGUGCUUCGGGGGGUAUUCUUGUGGCAUGGGAUUCUGGUUCUUUGUCUGGGCAGACUGUGGCAGUCCAUGAGUAUCAUGUCACAGUCAGGUUCUCUUCUACCUCCACCAACAACUCCUUCUUACUGUCCACUGUUUAUGCACCCUGCCUGAACAGUGAAAGGACGAGGUUUUUCGAGGCUAUGAGUAGUUUGAAUGUGCAAGACAGCCUUCAGUGGAUCGUUUUGGGUGACUUUAACAUGUACAGAUUUGCACACGAGAAGUCACAGGGUCUGAUCAGCUGGAAUGUGAUGGAAAGGUUCAACUCUUGGAUCAAAGACAGUGGGCUUGAUGACAUACACAUCGAUAACAGGUUGUUCACAUGGUCUAACAAGAUGAGCUCCCCCACUCUAGUUCGUUUGGAGCAUGUGCUAGUCAAUACGGCUUGGAAUUUGAGCUUGCUCCACACCUCUAUCUCGGUUGUACCUGCAACAACUUCAGAUCAUGCUCCUAUCUUGGUCAAGUUUUCUGAUGAUGUUCCUAGGAGCAGUUUAUUCAGGAUGGAAAACCACUGGUUGGAAACAGAGGAGGCUAGGAACAUUAUUAUGGACUGUUGGUAG